AUGAUGGACUAUAGGACAGGACUGCUGCUUUUUACUGUCUGCUGGGCAGGUGUUGAUGGUCAGACUCUGACAGAAUCUGAAGCAGUGGUUAAAAGGCCUGGAGAAUCCCACAGACUGACCUGUUCAGCCUCUGGAUUCACAUUCAGCAGCUACUAUAUGAACUGGGUCAGACAGGCUCCUGGAAAAGGACUGGAGUGGAUUGCUGAAAUUAGUAGCAGUGGUGGUAGCCAAUCCUACUCUAAUUCAGUCAAAAGCCGGUUCACCAUCUCCAGAGACAACAGCAGACAGCAGCUGUAUCUGCAGAUGAACAGUCUGAAGACUGAAGACACUGCAGUGUAUUACUGUCCUGACGCCCAGCCUCCACCAUCCGACUGUGUCGACCCGACAACCACCGCCGUUCACAUUCAUGCUCAGUCUGCUCCGACCUCCACCUCAGCGCAAGACUCAGUGGUCGUGCAGCCUGGACAGGAUACCGCUGGUCUUAUGUUUCCAGUUUGA